ACAUUCUUGGGUAGUGCACGUUUUAAAUUUGGAAUGACACAGACAAAUUUAACAUGGCCUCUGCGUAAUGGUGACAUGCAAAUACGUGAAGCGUUCCAUUCAGGC